rnacentral:rRNA from 1 species
GACGAACGCUGGCGGCGUGCUUAACACAUGCAAGUCGUACGGUAAGGCCCUUUCGGGGGUACACGAGUGGCGAACGGGUGAGUAACACGUGAGUAACCUGCUCACAACUUUGGGAUAACGCUAGGAAACUGGUGCUAAUACUGGAUAUGUGCUCCUGCUGCAUGGUGGGGGUUGGAAAGCUCCGGCGGUUGUGGAUGGACUCGCGGCCUAUCAGCUUGUUGGUGGGGUAGUGGCCUACCAAGGCGGCGACGGGUAGCCGGCCUGAGAGGGUGACCGGCCACAUUGGGACUGAGAUACGGCCCAGACUCCUACGGGAGGCAGCAGUGGGGAAUAUUGCACAAUGGGCGUAAGCCUGAUGCAGCAACGCCGCGUGCGGGAUGACGGCCUUCGGGUUGUAAACCGCUUUCAGCAGGGACGAAGCUUUUUGUGACGGUACCUGCAGAAGAAGCACCGGCUAACUACGUG